rnacentral:rRNA from 1 species
UUCCGGUUGAUCCUGCCGGAGGUUACUGCUAUCGGUGUUCGACUAAGCCAUGCAAGUCAUAUGUUCCUCGUGAACAUGGCAUACUGCUCAGUAACACGUGGAUAACCUGCCCUUGGGCCUGGGAUAACCCCGGGAAACUGGGGAUAAUACCGGAUGACGCAUAUGCGCUGGAAUGCUUUAUGCGUAAAACGGAUUCGUCCGCCCAAGGAUGGGUCUGCGGCCUAUCAGGUAGUAGUGGGUGUAAUGUACCUACUAGCCAACAACGGGUACGGGUUGUGAGAGCAAGAGCCCGGAGAUGGAUUCUGAGACAUGAAUCCAGGCCCUACGGGGCGCAGCAGGCGCGAAAACUUUACAAUGCGGGAAACCGUGAUAAGGGAACACCGAGUGCCAGCAUCAUAUGCUGGCUGUCCAGAUGUGUAAACUACAUCUGUUAGCAAGGGCCGGGCAAGACCGGUGCCAGCCGCCGCGGUAACACCGGCGGCCCGAGUGGUGACCGUUAUUAUUGGGUCUAAAGGGUCCGUAGCCGGUUUGGUCAGUCCUCCGGGAAAUCUGAUAGCUUAACUGUUAGGCUUUCGGGGGAUACUGCCAGGCUUGGAACCGGGAGAGGUAAGAGGUACUACAGGGGUAGGAGUGAAAUCUUGUAAUCCCUGUGAGACCACCUGUGGCGAAGGCGUCUUACCAG